GACGAACGCUGGCCGCGUGCUUAACACAUGCAAGUCGUACGAUGACCCGGCUCUUCGGAGCUGGUGAUUAGUGGCGAACGGGUGAGUAACACGUGGGUGACCUGCCCUGCACUCUGGGAUAAGCCCGGGAAACUGGGUCUAAUACUGGAUACGACCAGUGGCCGCAUGGUCUGCUGGUGGAAAGCCCUUCGGGGUGGUGUGGGAUGGGCCCGCGGCCUAUCAGCUUGUUGGUGGGGUGAUGGCCUACCAAGGCGACGACGGGUAGCCGGCCUGAGAGGGUGUCCGGCCACACUGGGACUGAGACACGGCCCAGACUCCUACGGGAGGCAGCAGUGGGGAAUCUUGCACAAUGGGCGAAAGCCUGAUGCAGCGACGCCGCGUGAGGGAUGACGGCCUUCGGGUUGUAAACCUCUUUCGGCAGGGAACAAGCCUGGGGGUUUUCUUCUGGGUGAGGGUACCUGCGGAAGAAGCACCGGCUAACUACGUG
rnacentral:rRNA from 1 species